GCUUGACUGUAGCUUGUAAUUGGGUUCGGGCUUUUUUUGCGCAGCCUAGGUGGGAGGCAAUGAUGAUUUUUUUCCGGAAAAAUUUGAGCCAUUCGUGAGAGACCACUCUGAAAAGGCUAGAAUCCUAAUAAUGAUCCUUGAAUCAGGACAUUUGACAGUUGCAGGUGGGCAGUUUUACUGGGGCGGUAUUCUCCUAAAAAGUAACGGAGGGGUGCAAAGGUUCCCUCAAGCUGGACGGAAAUCAGCUUAAGAGUGUAAAGGCAAAAGGGAGCUUGACUGCAAGACCUACAAGUCGAGCAGGGGCGAAAGCCGGCCUUAGUGAUCCGACGGUACCACGUGGAAGGGCCGUCGCUCAACGGAUAAAAGUUA
rnacentral:rRNA from 1 species